UUAGAUGGUGUCUGUCAACUGAG
rnacentral:piRNA from 1 species